AGGUCAAGCGAGGGAAGGGCGCAGGGUGGAUGCCUCGGCACCGGAGCCGAAGAAGGGCGUGGCAAGCUGCGAAAAGCCACGGGGAGCCGCAAGCAGGCGAAGAUCCGUGGAUUCCCGAAUGGGGCAACCCGCCGGGUGGAAGACCUGGCAUCGCAUGCUGAAUUAAGUAGGCAUGCGAGGGGAGACCGGGGGAACUGAAACAUCUUAGUACCCCGAGGAAAAGAAAUCAAAAUGAGAUUCCCUGAGUAGCGGCGAGCGAAAGGGGAGGAGCCCAAACCAUCGUAAGCGAAAGCUUGCGGUGGGGUUGUAGGACAGAAGCGCGAAGCCACUUGAGGCGCUUAGCCGAAUGGUCUGGGAAGGCCAGCCGUAGAGGGUGACAGCCCCGUAGGCGAAAGGCGCGGGUAGAGUGGUGCUUCUGAUCCUGAGUAGCACCAGUGCCGUGGAAGCUGGUGUGAAGCAGGGGGGACCACCCUCCAAGGCUAAAUACUACCGGUGACCGAUAGUGCACAAGUACCGUGAGGGAAAGGUGAAAAGAACCCCGGGAGGGGAGUGAAAUAGAGCCUGAAACCCUGUGCCUACAAGCAGACGGAGGGGCUGAGAAGUCCUGACGUCGUACUUAUUGAAGAACGGUCCGGCGAGUUACUUACGCAUGCGAGGCUAAGGCGCGAGAGAGCGCUGGAGCCGCAGGGAAACCGAGUCUGAAGAGGGCGAUAGUAUGCGUAAGUAGACCCGAAACCGGGUGAUCUACCCUUGGCCAGGGUGAAGUGUGGGUGAGACCACAUGGAGGCCCGAACCGGUCGUCGUUGAAAAGGCGUCGGAUGAGCUGAGGGUAGUGGAGAAAUUCCAAUCGAACCCGGAGAUAGCUGGUUCUCCCCGAAAUAGCUUUAGGGCUAGCCUCAAGCUUGUAGCCGCUGGAGGUAGAGCACUGAUUGGGCUAGGGGCGCAAAAACGUUACCGAACCCUAUCAAACUCCGAAUGCUGGCGGUGUUAAGCUUGGGAGUCAGACCACGAGCGAUAAGGUCCGUGGUCGAGAGGGGAACAGCCCAGACCGACUGCUAAGGUCCCGAAGAUGUGGCUAAGUGUGCAAAGGAUGUUCAGCCGCGAAGACAACCAGGAGGUUGGCUUAGAAGCAGCCAUUCCUUUAAAGAGUGCGUAACAGCUCACUGGUCGAGCGGCUGGGCGCCGAAAAUACUCGGGGCUGAAGCCACACACCGAAGCAUCGGGUUAUAGCCACAAAAGGAAGUGGCUAUAGCGGUAGGGGAGCGUUCUGCGUUAGGGCGAAGCCCAAGGCGAAAGCCAGGGUGGACGAGGCAGAAGUGAGAAUGCCGGAAUAAGUAGCGCGAGGCAGGUGGGAAGCCUGCCCGUCGGAAGCCCAAGGGUUUCUGGGGAAGGCGAAUCCGCCCAGAGUUAGCCGGGGCCUAAGGCGAGGCCGAAAGGCGUAGCUGAUGGGUAUCAGGUUGAUAAUCCUGAGCCACCUGCCGGAGGUUAACCUACGAGGCGGGACGCAGGAGGAGCAGGCAACCGGGGAGUUGGUAGACCCCGGCCAAGCGGCGAGCGGGAGUGGGUAGGCAAAUCCGCUCACUCGGCAACCGUGAGCCGUGAUGGGGAGCCGAAGAAAAAGUAGGCGAAGUGCUGAGCUUCACACUGCCAAGAAAAGCGUCGCGUAGGCGAAGGCAGGUGCCCGUACUGGAAACCGACACAGGUGGGCGAGGAGAGAAUCCACAGACGGACGGGUGAAGCACCGCUAAGGAACUCGGCAAACUGACCCCGUAACUUCGGGAGAAGGGGUGCCCUGGGUGAAGAGCUCAGGGUCGCAGGGAAUAGGCCCAAGCGACUGUUUAUCAAAAACACAGGUCUCUGCCAAGCCGAAAGGCGAGGUAUAGGGGCUGACGCCUGCCCGGUGCUGGAAGGUUAAGGGGAGGGGUUAGCCUGAAGAGGGCGAAGCUCCGAACCGAAGCCCCAGUGAACGGCGGCCGUAACUAUAACGGUCCUAAGGUAGCGAAAUUCCUUGUCGGGUAAGUUCCGACCCGCACGAAUGGCGUAACGACUUGGGCGCUGUCUUGGCGGUGUGCCCGGCGAAAUUGUGGUACCAGUGAAGACGCUGGUUACCCGCGGUUGGACAGAAAGACCCCGUGGAGCUUUACUGCAGCCUGGCACUGUGUUCUGGUGUGUCCUGUACAGGAUAGGUGGGAGGCAGAGAAGUGGGGGCGCCAGCCUCCAUGGAGCCGGCGGUGGGAUACCACUCUGGGUGCACUGGGGCACUAACCAGACACUCUGAACCGAGUGAUGGGACACUGUCAGGUGGGCAGUUUGACUGGGGCGGUCGCCUCCUAAAAGGUAACGGAGGCGCCCAAAGGUCACCUCAGCACGGAUGGAAAUCGUGCGGUAGGAGUGCAAAGGCGGUAAGGUGGCUUGACUGUGAGAGAGACAUCUCGAGCAGGGACGAAAGUCGGGCUUAGUGAUCCGGCGGUUUUCGAGUGGGAGAGCCGUCGCUCAACGGAUAAAAGUUACCCCGGGGAUAACAGGCUGAUCUCCCCCGAGAGUCCACAUCGACGGGGAGGUUUGGCACCUCGAUGUCGGCUCAUCGCAUCCUGGGGCUGAAGUAGGUCCCAAGGGUUGGGCUGUUCGCCCAUUAAAGCGGUACGUGAGCUGGGUUCAGAACGUCGUGAGACAGUUCGGUCCUUAUCCGCCGCGGGCGCAGGGUAUUUGAGGGGAGCUGACCCUAGUACGAGAGGACCGGGUUGGACGGACCGCUGGUUUACCAGUUGUUCCGCCAGGGGCACGGCUGGGAAGCCAAGUCCGGAUGGGAUAAACGCUGAAAGCAUCUAAGCGUGAAGCCCACCCCAAGAUGAGAUACCCCACACCUCAAAGGUGGUAAGGGUCCUGGGAGACUACCAGGUAGAUAGGCCGCAUGUGUAAGCGCUGUGAGGCGUUGAGCAAGGCGGUACUAAUGGCCCGAGGAGCUUGACCGA
rnacentral:rRNA from 1 species